rnacentral:rRNA from 1 species
UUUAAAGUCUGGCCUGCCCAAUGAGGAGUUGAAUGGCCGCGGUAAUUUGACCGUGCAAAGGUAGCAUAAUCAUUAGUUUUUUAAUUGAAAGCUGGAAUGAAUGGUCGGACGAGAGAACAGCUGUCUCAGUUUAAUUGAAAUAGAACUUUAUUUUUAAGUAAAAAAGCUUAAAUAUAUUUAAAAGACGAGAAGACCCUAUAGAGUUUUAUAUAAAAAAGUAAGUGAGAGAUUUAGUAUAUAAAUGGUUAUUUAUUUUUUUGUAUUUUGUUGGGGCGAUAGAAAAAUUAAAGGAACUUUUUUUAUAGUGAUUCAUUAAUAUAUGUUUAAAUGAUCCGUUAUUAACGAUUAUAAGAUUAAAUUACCUUAGGGAUAACAGCGUAAUUUUUUUUAAGAGUUCAAAUCGAAAAAAGAGUUUGCGACCUCGAUGUUGGAUUAAAAUUAAUUUUCGGUGUAGGGGCUGAAAUAUUAGGUCUGUUCGACCUUUGAAAUUUUACAUGAUCUGAGUUUAAACCGGCGUGAGCCAGGUUGGUUUCUAUCUUUAAACAUUCUAGGUAUUUUAGUACGAAAGGAUCAAAUACCUGUAAAAUUUGUUAUAAGUUGAAUAUUAUUAUU